rnacentral:rRNA from 1 species
ACUCCUGCGGGAGGCAGCAGUGGGGAAUUUUGGACAAUGGGCGAAAGCCUGAUCCAGCAAUGCCGCGUGAGUGAAGAAGGCCUUCGGGUUGUAAAGCUCUUUUGUCAGGGAAGAAACGGUGAAAGCUAAUAUCUUUUGCUAAUGACGGUACCUGAAGAAUAAGCACCGGCUAACUACGUGCCAGCAGCCGCGGUAAUACGUAGGGUGCAAGCGUUAAUCGGAAUUACUGGGCGUAAAGCGUGCGCAGGCGGUUUUGUAAGUCUGAUGUGAAACCCCCGGGCUCAACCGGGGAAUUGCAUUGGAGACUGCAAGGCUAGAAUCUGGCAGAGGGGGGUAGAAUUCCACGUGUAGCAGUGAAAUGCGUAGAUAUGUGGAGGAACACCGAUGGCGAAGGCAGCCCCCUGGGUCAAGAUUGACGCUCAUGCACGAAAGCGUGGGGAGCAAACAGGAUUAGAUACCCCUGUAGUCCCAUG